GGGUGUCCCUGUGCCAGGCUCUGUCCCGGAACGCUCGGAGGGUUCAGGAUGUUCUGGGCUCUGUCCCCGGGAUUCGCUGCCCGGCCCCGGCCGGGGGGCCCCGAGCCCUCCUACGGGUACAGGGCACGGACACCGACAGGGCGCUGUCACUGUCCCGUGUUCGGUACCGGCGGUCGGAGGAGCUCCCGGAGGAGCUCCCGGGGGUGUUCCCAGGGGUGUCCCCGAAGGAGCUCCCGGGGGUGUUCCCGGGGAGCCACUUCGGGCUCGAGGGGGGCUCCCACCUGGGGCUGUCGCUGCUGCUGCCGCCGCAGACGCUGGAGAGGGUCCUGCUGCUCCUCACCCGCUGCCAAAGCCCAUCCCAGCCGGAAUGAUCCCAAGGGACAGGAGCCCCCGGGCUGGGGAGGGAUUGGGGGGAUCCAGGGAGGGAUUGGGGGGAGCCAGGGAUGGAUU